ensembl:snRNA U2 U2 spliceosomal RNA
AUUGCUUCUCGGCCUUUUGGCUAAGAUCAAGUGUAGUAUCUGUUCUUAUCAGUUUAAUAUCUGAUAUGUCUUCUAUCCUAGGACAAUGUAUUAAAUGGAUUUUUGGGACUAGGAGAUAGAAUAGAAGCUUGCUCCAUUCACUCCACGCAUCAACCUGGUAUUGCAGUACUUCCAGGAAUGGUGCACCCCCU